CAGCCGCCACGGUAAUACGAAGGGUGCAAGCGUUAAUCGGAAUUACUGGGCGUAAAGCGUGCGUAGGCGGUUUGUUAAGUCUGUUGUGAAAUCCCCGGGCUCAACCUGGGAAUGGCAGUGGAUACUGGCUCGCUAGAGUGUGUCAGAGGAUGGUGGAAUUCCCGGUGUAGCGGUGAAAUGCGUAGAGAUCGGGAGGAACAUCAGUGGCGAAGGCGGCCAUCUGGGACAACACUGACGCUGAGGCACGAAAGCGUGGGGAGCAAACAGGAUUAGAUACCCCCGUAGUCCCUGUCUCUUAUAC
rnacentral:rRNA from 1 species